rnacentral:rRNA from 1 species
AGAGUUUGAUCCUGGCUCAGGAUGAACGCUAGCGGCAGGCUUAAUACAUGCAAGUCGUGGGGCAGCAUGAGUGUAGCAAUACAUUUGAUGGCGACCGGCAAACGGGUGCGGAACACGUACACAACCUUCCUUUAAGUGGGGGAUAGCCCAGGGAAACUUGGAUUAAUACCCCGUAAUAUAUAGAAGCGGCGUCGCUUUUAUAUUAUAGCAGCAAUGCGCUUAAAGAUGGGUGUGCGGCUGAUUAGAUAGUUGGCGGGGUAACGGCCCACCAAGUCGACGAUCAGUAACUGGUGUGAGAGCACGACCAGUCACACGGGCACUGAGACACGGGCCCGACUCCUACGGGAGGCAGCAGUAAGGAAUAUUGGUCAAUGGACGCAAGUCUGAACCAGCCAUGCCGCGUGGAGGAUGAAGGCCCUCUGGGUUGUAAACUUCUUUUAUAUGGGACGAAAAAGGGACUUUCUAGUCCAACUGACGGUACCAUGUGAAUAAGCACCGGCUAACUCCGUGCCAGCCGCCGCGGUAAUAC